rnacentral:rRNA from 1 species
AUUGAACGCUGGCGGCAGGCUUAACACAUGCAAGUCGAGCGGAGAUGAAGUGCUUGCACCUUAUCUUAGCGGCGGACGGGUGAGUAACGCUUAGGAAUCUGCCUAUUAGUGGGGGACAACAUUCCGAAAGGAAUGCUAAUACCGCAUACGUCCUACGGGAGAAAGCAGGGGAUCUUCGGACCUUGCGCUAAUAGAUGAGCCUAAGUCGGAUUAGCUAGUUGGUGGGGUAAAGGCCUACCAAGGCGACGAUCUGUAGCGGGUCUGAGAGGAUGAUCCGCCACACUGGGGCUGAGACACGGCCCAGACUCCUACGGGAGGCAGCAGUGGGGAAUAUUGGACAAUGGGGGGAACCCUGAUCCAGCCAUGCCGCGUGUGUGAAGAAGGCCUUAUGGUUGUAAGGUACUUUAGGCGAGGAGGAGGCUACUGAGACUAAUACUCUUGGAUAGUGGACGUUACUCGCAGAAUAAGCACCGGCUAACUCUGUGCCAGCCGCCGCCGUAAUAC